CGCGCCCCUGUUGAGCCAUCGAAAUCCAGGCCGUGAGGAAUGGCGGCGGCGCUGCUGUGCACAUAGCUGGUCGUCGCCUACAUCUUUGCGGUCUGCGGAGCUGACGAGGAGAAACAGCAGAGGCACUACAACAGAUAGAUCUUCUGGUUCCUCCCUCGAGCUCAACAGCCCGCGGCCCACGCUGUAAUUCCCCUUCACCCUCACCAUGGUUGCUCCUCCACCUCACGACCCUCCUUAGCUCCUCGCACACGUCGCCUUCACCUGCUGGGCUGCUGCCGAUUCUCCAUCUCGCUCCCACGCUACGGUGGCGCCAUGCCAGCUCCCUCCGGCCCUCCCGACCAAGCAUCGACCUAAAUAGAUUUUGAUGAGAAAGAACAAACCUUGAUCUGUUCUGGGAACGUACAAAGAAAGAGCCUUCAGAAGACGUGACCCAAGCCUUGAUCUGAUAUGGGAGCAUAAAAAGGGAGGAGCCUUCAGAAGAUGCCAGACACAAUAAGCAUCUCCAGGUUACAUUUCCAGAUGAAUUAUGCAUCUAGAAAAAAUUACCAUUAUGGGCAAUGUGAUUUGCUUGGAUUGGCUGGAGUUCAUUUUCGCUUAAGAUUAUCGAGGCUUAUGAACUCUCAGUUUUGCAGCAAUUCAAAACAGAUACCUUAAGUUUGGCAAAUACCCUUCUUUGGAAAACACAAGAGAACACUGCAUUGAUAAUUAAGGGAACAGAAAUUCUGAGCUGCUCGAUGACAUUAGUGACGGGCUCAUUUGGCAUGAGUGCAAUUUAGAUUCCUGUCCCUAUAUAUGUAAUGAGCAGUUUCUUAUUCAAAAUAUUUCAAACAGUUGUUAAUCGAGAAAUUUAUAUCCAUGCUGCUAUUCAAA